UAAUACGAAGGGUGCAAGCGUUACUCGGAAUUACUGGGCGUAAAGCGUGCGCAGGCGGUUCGUUAAGUCUGCUGUGAAAGCCCUGGGCUCAACCUGGGAAUGGCAGUGGAUACUGGCGAGCUAGAGUACGGUAGAGGAAGGUGGAAUUCCCGGUGUAGCGGUGAAAUGCGUAGAGAUCGGGAGGAACACCAGUGGCGAAGGCGACCUUCUGGACCAGUACUGACGCUCAUGCACGAAAGCGUGGGGAGCAAACAGGAUUAGAUACCCUGGUAGUCCACGCCCUAAACGAUGCGAACUGGAUGUUGGGCACACUUUGGUGCUCAGUGUCGAAGCUAACGCGUUAAGUUCGCCGCCUGGGGAGUACGGUCGCAAGACUGAAACUCAAAUGAAUUGACGG
rnacentral:rRNA from 1 species